UACAGAGGUCCCGAGCGUUGUUCGGAUUCACUGGGCGUAAAGGGUGCGUAGGCGGUCGGGUAAGUCUGAUGUGAAAUCUCACAGCUUAACUGUGAAACUGCAUUGGAUACUAUUCGGCUUGAGGUCUGGAGGGGGAACUGGAAUUCUCGGUGUAGCAGUGAAAUGCGUAGAUAUCGAGAGGAACACCAGUGGCGAAGGCGAGUCCCUGGACAGGUCCUGACGCUGAGGCACGAAAGCGUGGGGAGCGAACAGG
rnacentral:rRNA from 1 species